GGUGAAGCGGCAAAAGCUCAAAUUUGAAACCCUCGGGAUUGUAAUUUGAAGAUUUGGUAUUGGAGAAAGCUAACCCAAGUUGCUUGGAAUAGUACGUCAUAGAGGGUGACAACCCCGUCUGGCUAACCGUUCUCCAUGUAUUGCCUUAUCAAAGAGUCGAGUUGUUUGGGAAUGCAGCUCAAAGUGGGUGGUAAACUCCAUCUAAAGCUAAAUACUGGUGAGAGACCGAUAGCGAACAAGUACUGUGAAGGAAAGGUGAAAAGAACUUUGAAAAGAGAGUGAAAUAGUAUGUGAAAUUGUUGAUAGGGAAGGAAAUGAGUGGAGAGUGGCCGAGGUUUCAGCCGCCCCUCGUGGGCGGUGUACUGCCGACGCCGAGUCAUCGAUAGCGAGACGAGGGUUACAAAUGGGAGCGCCUUUCGGGCGUUCUCCCCUAACCCUCCACACUGCCACCGACGACAUAAUCCACCCAUUUCACCCGUCUUGAAACACGGAC
rnacentral:rRNA from 1 species